GCCCAAGUAGCACAAUGGUAGUGCGUUGCUUUCCUAUGCCUCGGAUUUACGUCUUGGAUAAGAAGGCAAAGGUUGUGGGUUCGAUCCCCAUCUUGGGUU